GCAGUUCUCGUGGGAGGAGCGGGGCGGCGCGCGCCUGGCCAGGCAGGCUGGAAACGGUAGCUCUUAACGGUUCCCCGCCCGUUGGUGACAAGGCGGCUGGACUAGAAUCCCAGCAGGCGACAUGCGAGGAGGCGGGCAGCCCAAGAGGAUUGGGCAGGGCAGUGUGGACCUCGACGCUUCCACAGCGAUUCUGGCUACUGAUCGCGGGCACCUCCUUGCCAGGGGAUAGAAAUUAAUAUUAUGAUUGGAUAAGACAAUUGUGAAGAAACUGCACUUCGAGGUUGUCUAUCUCCGUAUUCUGAUGGAAAAGCGUGGAAUUUAGAAGCAUUGCUCGCUCCUUCAGUUUCUAACAAGCCAGUUCUUGGAGAUACUAGGAUGCCAAGAGUUUCCUCCAAGAAUGGAGAUUCCUUGGAAGUGAGGUUCACCUUGAGUCAAGAAAGACGAAUCACACAUGAUAUUUGCCCAGGGUCUCAAGAACAGAGCCAGAAAGAAGAGCUGGGGCCGGCGGGACUGUGGGGGUCCUCUCUCCCACCUGAAAAGCUACUGCUGCCUGCCGAUCCUCUCAAGAGGAGACCUCUCUGGGCUCCAGCACCUAAAACAGACAAACCUGGGAGGAUGCUUCUCUCUUCUAUGUCACACGUGUCCUGGAGAAAACCCGUGUAUCUGAAUGACCAAAGAAAACUAUAAGAAAAAGUGCAAAAUCUGUGCCAGGCCAUUCAGUGUCUGGCUGGGGCUCUGGGGUGCACAUGCAUUCCAAGAAGACUGAAGGGUGCCAAGCCUGCAGGAAAUGUCCAUCAGACCUGCCUCUCACACCUGGAGUAGGACUGCCCAUCCAACUUCAUGAUGCAGAACUGUCUUUAAAAGGUGACUGCAGAUAUGGAGAGAGGGAUUUCUAACCCUGAUAGAACACGACCAGCUGUCCUGCUGGGGAAAGCUGCAUCCACCAGUGACAUGCUGCUCAAACUGGCCCAGGACACACUCUACUACCUAAGGAAUAAGCCCCGCAUUUGCUAUUUGUGGGUGAAAGGAGAGGGUGAGAGAGGAGGGGAGUGUCCGCACAGACAUGAGAAGCCUGCAGAUCCAGAUGACCCCUUGCUGAUCAGAAUAAGAAAGAUCGACUUGUGAAAACAGUGACCCCGUAGCAGAUGAGCUUCUAAAGCAGGCUUCAACCAUGCGUCAUCUGGACCCACUGGUGGAGAAUUCUGCCCCCACUCUAUGUUGAUGGUCUGGGGGAUACCAUUACUGAGACAGAUCUAAGAAAUAAUCUCUACCUGUUGGCGAAAUCUGGAUGGUCACUUGUAUGAGACAGCAGUGUGCUCUCAUCAGCUUUCCACAGGGCAGGCUGCGGAAAUGGUGCUGAGAAGUACUAUUGUAAAUUGAUUGUCCAUGGCUGCAGACUUACCAUCAAAUGGAAGAAGAUUCCAAGCUCUCAAAAGGAAAAAGAGAAGGAUGGAACCACAGACUCUGGGACCCUGCCAGAGCCUAUUUCAGUGCUGCCAGGAGCUCCUCCUCCCCCUGCAGCUCUGGUCCCCACCUUGGAGCCUCCUUCCAAGGA